UACGUAGGGGGCUAGCGUUGUCCGGAAUCAUUGGGCGUAAAGCGCGCGUAGGCGGUCCGGUAAGUCCGCUGUGAAAGUCGGGGGCUCAACCCUCGAAUGCCGGUGGAUACUGUCGGGCUAGAGUGCGGAAGAGGCGAGUGGAAUUCCUGGUGUAGCGGUGAAAUGCGCAGAUAUCAGGAGGAACACCGGUGGCGAAGGCGGGGUCUCUGGGCAAUAACUGACGCUGAGGAGCGAAAGCGUGGGGAGCGAACAGG
rnacentral:rRNA from 1 species